CUCGCGGGGACUCUCCGUGAACUCUCUCUCGCUCUCUCUUUGGGGGCUCUCUGAUAAUCACGAACGAACUCUCUCCGGGGUGAGCUCUCUCUCGAUCAAGUGUUCUCUCUCUCUACGGUUCAAUCGGCUAGGGUUUUCACUCCAUUGGAGGGAUUAAAGAUCGGAGUUUGGCGGGCUGAAGCGUUCUCUCUCUGGUGAAGGGGGGACGCUCGCACUCUCUCUGGAAAGGGGGAUUCUCUCUUCCGCUCUGGGUAACUGCUCGAUUGAGCUCUUCGAUGGCGGAUUGAAGAAAACCCUAGCCUCGGUCGAGGACGGGGCUCGGGACAUCUCUCCCUCUUCUCAGCAAUCUAGUCCUCAAUCGAUCGUCGUUUCGAGCUUCCAUUCUUCGCGCAGAAACCGAACUCGUGGUCGAUCUCGCACGUUCGGUGAUGUUCCUGGCCUCGAAGAUGAAGAGCUUGAAGCGGUCGUUGACCUCGCCAUGCUGAUCCUCUUCGCGCUCAGCAUAUUCCCAUCCCCGAUCGGUGACAGCCGCAGCAAAAUCUCCUCCGCCGGUCAGUACAGCCGUGGCUGUAACAGAACAGACGAAUGCUCAUCACUACCGAUCAGGACAAUCAGUGGAUCCAUCCGUUGCCAGAACUUAACUUCUCCAAAUCUGAUAAUCCCCGACGAUCCGAAGUUUCUGUUCGAACUUAUCAUCGCUGGUUCCAACCUCGUUCUUGGACGAUCAUAAAACUCUUAUUCUUCGUCUGGAACUCUUGUUGCAGUAUCCGUAUCACUGAUAAACUAGGUAAACUCAUUCCCCUCUCUCCUGCUCUGUUGCAAUGAAAUGUGUAGAAGAAUCAUGUUCACGUAGUUCAGGUGUAAUUCACUUAAGAUCUGAGCUGUAACUAGAUGACUUGUGAUGGUUCUGUGAUUUUAAUAUUGAUUUUAGAAUGUUAGAUGAAAACAUGGCUUCAGUCCCAUUCCAUAGCUUCAGUUAAUCGUUUUGUUGUACGUGAAGUGUCUGACGAAAUACCUCAAAAGCAUGAGCGAGAAAUAGGUCAUGAUAAUGUCAGAUCUGAAAACGUGUUGAUAUGAAACAUUUCUUAGAAGUUGAUUUACCGAGUAUAUAGAUCUGAUGCCACUCAUUGUGCCAUUGUUACUGAACCUGUGUUGUUUAUUGUGUUGUGUGUUCUGAUCUGACCUUCUGUGCAAAAUGACGUGAGAUGAUCGGGUUGCUGUGGUUGUCUAUGUUCGAAGUCUUCAUAUAGGUUGAAGAUGGUUCGAUUAUCUUUCCAAUGAGCUAUAGAAUGCCCUAAACGGACUUCAUUUAAUAUGGUUUUUGCCUGUCCAAAGUUAGGUCCAGAAUCUGCCAAAUAUUUGUUUUUCUGUUUCGGAUGACCUUCUGUGUAAACCGCUUGAUAUGAACUCGUAGAUGAUGUUAUUAGGACUUAAUGUCUUCUAGAGAUUUGUAAUAGACUUCUCAAGCUUUCCAUAGACAUAUCAUGUGUGCGAUUUAGCCAUCAUUUGCCCUGCCUGAUGCUUCUUGCAAAGAGCACUAAUCUGCUGAUGUGUUCUGCUUGUUGUGAUUUGAUCUGACCACUUAUACAAAUGGCUUUACUUGAGGCUAGUUUGGUUAUGGAUUGAUGCCAUUUUAAUCAAGUAGACUCAUACGUGCUUGUGAGAAGAUAUAGCUUCAAUUCAUGACGAUUUGUCAUCAAAUAAUCACAAUUUAUAGUCUCAUGUGCUCUUUUACAAUUCUGAUUGCAUGCUGGAAUUUGUGGAUUAAGCAUUGAUUAGAUGGACAUACAUGUAGCAUGAACACGUUCAAUGAUGCAUAUUGUUUUGUGAAUGAUCUUUUGUCACCUAAUUCAUUUGCUUGAUUAAUUGAGAACCAAGGUUAUAUGACUUGGAUGUCUGUCAUAUUAUAUGUCUUGCAUGUGAUCAUUUGAUGAAUGGUUUUGGUGUGACACAUAUCAAUGCUGAACUUUAGGAUAUCAUUCGAAACUUGAUUCCGUAUUGUACUUCUUUUAAACAAUUGAUUUUGAUAUGAUGUAUUGUUUUUGGUUGCUUGAUGUGUUUGAUUGUUUCUUUUAUUUGUACGCACCUAGUUAUAGGUUUUCUUAGAUUAGAUUUAGAUUAAGAUCCCGAAGAUGGAGAAGGCACGAAGAGGGUGAAGGUCGAUGUCCAUUCCGACCAUUUUCAUGUAAUACCCAUUUUCCCAACAUAUGUAUCGGGUUUUAUGCAUUGUAUAAAGCCCGACGAGUUGCGGGUUU